GCGAGCGUGAGUCGUUGUUUGCUGGCGUGGCAUCAUCAAGAUUCACAUGUAAAGCUAGUAGCUAAUACUACCCCGGCCAGUAGUAGGACAUGGACUGAUGAGAAUCUUGAUGAUGCUGCAUCGGCAGUCGACGACUGCAUACGAAAAGU
rnacentral:pre_miRNA from 1 species